AAACCAGGGAUGGUCAAGCAUCCCUCUGUGACUUGGCGUUCCUGCCGAGUGUGUCUGCAUUACAGCUCACAGAGGGAAGUGUAUUGGAAGCAUCCAUCUGGAUACGACACUGUACUGAAGUUGCAAAUGAAGCCCACAUUUUGCCAAGCAGCCGUGACUGUACUAUGGCAUCAUCCAUAGCUUUCCUGAGGAGGAGGAACUCGCCCCAUCCCGGCAGCUCAUUGCUACAGACUGAAGGGGUGAAA
rnacentral:lncRNA from 1 species